AACAGGUCCCAUGUCUAGAGCGUGCGCGUUCUUGAGCCACGCACCUGCAUGAUGACCGCAUACCGAGAGACUAUUGUUUCAGGUUGACCUUGUCUAGAGGAGCAUUAGUGGAAAAAAACAGGGUAGCCCUGAGACAAUAGGAUGCCGUCACGACCAAUGAGACUGGCCUGCAGGGGGCGCAAGGAUUCACUUCUCUCUUGGACACUGGCGGGUGUAGACACGGUAAUUAUGAUCCUGGCGUUGGCCGUCAGUGGAAGAGCGUAGCUUAGGUGGGGUUCUGUCUGCCUCUGAUGGGGUGCGGAUGUGUAGUUCGUCACUGGUGAAUGGUGUUCGACGAUGCAGGUGGAUUUUGUGACGAGCGGAUUUACAAUGAGGGAAUGCUGUGAACGGGAAAAAUGAUGGUGAGUGCCUUUUUCACUCUGUUCAAGUGUUCGUUUUCCUCUGUUGCCCAACAGUCGUGCGAAUUUGUCCUGACGUGUCCUGACAUGCCCCGAUAUGCAUGCUUUCCUUUGUUAACGCUUUGUAUUUUGUCUUUUUUUGACAAGGAACAUUGUCGUCUUGACGAUAGUGCUGCCCUGAGUACUGCGCGCGUUGAUUUGUUGAGUGCCUAGUCCUCUUAUUAGCCGUUGAUGGAGUUACAUGUUAGGAUGUUUUGUUCUUUUGCAAGUCUCAUUUAGUAAGACUUUGGAAUUCCUACGAUCAGUUUUCAUGCAUGGUGCUCUUCUGCAAUAGUUUCCUAUGCAAUCGUUAUAGAAGAAUAAAGGAAAUAAUCUUGGGAUAGUGAUUCAAUAAAUAAUAGGUCCCCUGUCUAGAGCGCACGCGUCCUUGAGCCACCCAGGUGCAUGAUGACGUCAUACCGUGGCUUCACUGCAGAUUGACCAAAGGAGCAUUAGUGGAAAAAAACAGUGUAGCCCUGAGACAAUAGGAUGAUGUCUGGACCAAUGAGAACUGCCAGCAGGGGGCGCAGGAAUGCUCUUCUCACUUAGCCUCACGACCAAUGAGAACGGUCAGCAGGGGGCGCAGGAAUGCUCUUCUCUCUUAGCCUCUCGCAGGUGGCGGUAGGAGCGCGCAGAGGGCGCUACGAGCGCGCGCAUGCGUAGCACCCGUAGAGUGGCGCUUACGUCAGUCCACCUCUGGCUCUCGUUGGGAGAAGACGUGCGGUCGUUCGCUCCGUCGUCACUUGAUCCCUGGCUGUCGACGAGAGCAGUCGCAUCGGUCUGCGCUCCUACUGUGAGCUGUCCUAACUUGCCCAGACAUGCCGUGAUGACGUCACAGCUGACGUCACAGGAUGUCCGGAACUGGUGGUCAUAGCUGCGAUGCUUUGCAACCUGCCUCUGUGCUCCGUCGCCCAGCGACGGUCAGCGGCCUUUCCGGACCGCUUUCUUCAAGAUGGCGCCGUUGAUCUUCAAUUAAACUCCUUCUCUCCACUCUA